GAGAAUAGAAGAAGAAGAAGAAGAGGAAGAGGAAGAGGAAGAGGAGGAGGAGGGGGACGCCACAGCCAACCCAAACCACCGCCGACCACCACCGCUGAAGAAACCAACGAAGAAGACGCCUCCACGAUCGCCGACCACCACCACCAACGUACGCCGACGAGCUUCGAACCACAAUCACUGAUAUCAAUUUCGAACGCUCAAGAAGGUCUCAACCACCACCGCCGCCGCCAUACGACAACGAAGAGAGAAAAUUUCAGGUCCAGCGCAACCUCCUUAGGGGUGCAAUCUCAGUUGACUACUCUUGCAGGAAUAAUUAGAGCUAUUGAUCCAAAGCUUCAUGAACACCUUUAGGAACUAAAUGGUGGGUAGUAUCUGUUUACACUCCGUAUGCUAAUGGCACUUUUCCGGAGAGAGUUGUCAAUUGUAGAUGCGUUGUACCUUGGGGAGGUGAUGUGGGCAAUGGAAUAUAAUCCAAACAUCUCUUCAUUAUAUGAGGUUUCAAGGUCUAGAUCAGAUGUGGCACCAAAUGAAAAUGCUGUAUCCAGAAUGGAUAUUAAGCAGCUGAAGCAAUAUGGGAAAUAUGAGAGAAAACUUAUAAAGACUGGACACGGGGACUAAAAGAGCGCCCUCAUAGUUUUCCUCGUUGCAAGUCAUUGAGGCCAAGAAAAAACGACUUCUGAAAAAAGCUAAAGGUCCAAACGAUGUUGUCAAAAUUGUGGGGGAAAUAACGGCUAGUCUGGAUGCGAAAAGGGCAUUGAGAGACGCAUUGAGGAUCUAGGAAAAGUACCUACAGAAGGCAAGCUCAUCCUUUUGUUUCUCUUUCGUUAAAUCCUCAUUCCAUCCUCACAUGCAUGCAUAUGACUUGGGUUUCCACACAUGGUUUGCUGCUUAUAGUGCUUACCUAUGCAUGCAGGCCAGGCAAUUGUAGCUAUGCAAGAGGGAGGGAGAGCACAAAGCAGUUCCACAACUCCAAAAUCCAGUUCCGCUUGGUGUUUGAAGCGUCCAGCCAAGAAGAGAUGCUAGCUACACUUAGGAUUUAUCUUUUUAAUUUUGCUUGUAAUAUAGCUUAGGGUAGACAACGAUGAUGAUGUUUGGCUCAUGGCCUUUGCUCCAAUUUGACAAUGUUUCAUGGCUUGUUUAAAAAGAUACAAGUUUGUACUCCAUUUUUGUUGCUGUAUUGGUUUUAGAGUGGUACAUUUUGAGAUAAUGAGUGGUACAUUAUGAAAUUCAAAUAUCACUAUGGUGUCAAC